rnacentral:rRNA from 1 species
UUUCCCUACGGGGGGCAGCAGUGGGGAAUAUUGGGCAAUGGACGCAAGUCUGACCCAGCAACGCCGCGUGAAGGAAGAAGGCUUUCGGGUUGUAAACUUCUUUUAAGGGGGAAGAGUAGAAGACGGUACCCCUUGAAUAAGCCACGGCUAACUACGUGCCAGCAGCCGCGGUAAUACGUAGGUGGCAAGCGUUGUCCGGAUUUAUUGGGUUUAAAGGGUGCGCAGGCGGUCUGUUAAGUCAGCGGUCAAAGCCCGGGGCUCAACCCCGGCCCGCCGUUGAAACUGGCAGUCUCGAGUUGGAGAGA